GGAUGUGAGGGCGAUCUGGUUGCGACAUCUGUCACCCCAUUGAUCGCCAGGGUUGAUUCGGCUGAUCUGGCUGGCUAGGCGGGUGUCCCCUUCCUGCCUCACCGCUCCAUGUGCGUCCCUCCCGAAGCUGCGUGCUGGGUCUGGAAGAGGACGACCACACCCGAUACAGGGGGACUGUUUCCACUGUCAAGGGUAUACGAGCAGCUGCGCUCCCCGCUAGAACCUCCAAACGAGCUCUCAAUUCCUGGUACCGAAAUAAAUAAAUAAACAAACAAACAAAUAAAAUAAAACCAGGUCUUCACACACUAUACAAACUUAUUU
ensembl:misc_RNA 7SK 7SK RNA